AUGGAAGUAGGGCUGAGACUUGAGGACAAGGUUACCCCUGAUGACACCAAGCAGUUUGAGCGAAGGAUGAGAGAGGUUCCCGAGAAAACGACAGGCUCACUGAACAUUGGAGUUAUCCAGUCCCUGAGACACCUAAUCAAAGGAAAAGGUGGAAACUCCAGUCUGAAAUGCUCUCCCACCCCAGGACACAACACUGUGUCCUGGUACCAGAAGCUUCCGGAAGAGGGCCCCCAUUUUCUCAUUCAGUAUUUGGAAACGAUGCAGAGAGAAAAAGGAAACAUCCCCGACCGGUUCUCAGCUCAGCAGUUCCAGGACUAUCACUCUGAGCUCAACGUGAGCUUCUUGGAGCCGGGGGACUCAGCCUUGCAUCUGUGCGCCAGCAGCUUGGCACAGCCCUGUAGUGUUACUGGCUUUCUGUACCCAAACUUUCUGUCUCAGCUGAAGAUGUAA